UUGUUGCCAGCGGUCCGGCCGGGAACUCAAAGGAGACUGCCAGUGAUAAACUGGAGGAAGGUGGGGAUGACGUCAAGUCAUCAUGGCCCUUACGACCAGGGCUACACACGUGCUACAAUGGCGCAUACAAAGAGAAGCGACCUCGCGAGAGCAAGCGGACCUCAUAAAGUGCGUCGUAGUCCGGAUUGGAGUCUGCAACUCGACUCCAUGAAGUCGGAAUCGCUAGUAAUCGUGGAUCAGAAUGCCACGGUGAAUACGUUCCCGGGCCUUGUACACACCGCCCGUCACACCAUGGGAGUGGGUUGCAAAAGAAGUAGGUAGCUUAACCUUCGGGAGGGCGCUUACCACUUUGUGAUUCAUGACUGGGGUGAAGUCGUAACAAGGUAACCGUAGGGGAACCUGCGGUUGGA
rnacentral:rRNA from 2 species